rnacentral:rRNA from 1 species
GAUGAACGCUGGCGGCGUGCCUAAUACAUGCAAGUCGAGCGAACAGAUGAGGAGCUUGCUCCUCUGACGUUAGCGGCGGACGGGUGAGUAACACGUGGAUAACCUACCUAUAAGACUGGGAUAACUUCGGGAAACCGGAGCUAAUACCGGAUAAUAUAUUGAACCGCAUGGUUCAAUAGUGAAAGACGGUUUUGCUGUCACUUAUAGAUGGAUCCGCGCCGCAUUAGCUAGUUGGUAAGGUAACGGCUUACCAAGGCGACGAUGCGUAGCCGACCUGAGAGGGUGAUCGGCCACACUGGAACUGAGACACGGUCCAGACUACUACGGGAGGCAGCAGUAGGGAAUCUUACGCAAUGGGCGAAAGCCUGACGGAGCAACGCCGCGUGAGUGAUGAAGGUCUUCGGAUCGUAAAACUCUGUUAUUAGGGAAGAACAAAUGUGUAAGUAAAUAUGCACGUCUUGACGGUACCUAAUCAGAAAGCAACGGCUAACUACGUG